AUUGAACGCUGGCGGCAGGCCUAACACAUGCAAGUCGAGCGGGGUUUUCGGACCUAGCGGCGGACGGGUGAGUAAUGCGUAGGAAGCUGCCCGAUAGAGGGGGAUACCAGUUGGAAACGACUGUUAAUACCGCAUAAUGUCUACUGACCAAAGUGUGGGACCUUCGGGCCACAUGCUAUCGGAUGCGCCGACGUGGGAUCAGCGAGUUGGGGAGGUAAUGGCGCACCAAGGCGACGAUCUCUAGCUGGUUUGAGAGGAUGAUCAGCCAAACUGGAAAUGAGACACGGUCCAGACUCCUACGGGAGGCAGCGGUGGGGAAUAUUGGACAAUGGGCGCAAGCCUGAUCCAGCCAUGCCGCGUGUGUGAGAAGGCCUUCGGGUUGUAAAGCACUUUCAGCGAGGAGGAAGGGUGGUGUGUUAACAGUACACACCUUUGACGUUACUCGCAGAAGAAGCACCGGCUAACUCUGUGCCAGCAGCCGCCGUAACAC
rnacentral:rRNA from 1 species